GAGCACGUAGGUGGGUUUGUAAGUCAGAUGUGAAAGCCUUCUGUUCAACGGGAGAAUUGCAUCUGAAACUGCUAAUCUUGAGUAUAGGAGGGGAGAAUGGAACUUCUGGUGGAGCGGUGAAAUGCGUAGAUAUCAGAAGGAACGCCGGCGGCGAAAGCGAUUCUCUGGCCUAUUACUGACACUCAGUGUGCGAAAGCUAGGGGAGCAAACGGGAUUAGAUACCCCGGUAGUCCUAGCUGUAAACGAUGGGCACUAAGUAGAGGGGUUUUAA
rnacentral:rRNA from 1 species